rnacentral:tRNA from 4 species
AGGGGCAUGGUGUAAUGGUAACACGUGGGUCUCCAAAACCUUUGUUGUGAGUUCGAAUCUUACUGCCCCUGCCA